rnacentral:rRNA from 1 species
GACAGGGGGUGCGAACGUUGUUCGGAAUUACUGGGCGUAAAGCGCAUGUAGGCGGCAGCGUAAGUCGGGCGUGAAAUCCCACGGCUCAACCGUGGAAGUGCACUCGAAACUGCGCAGCUAGAGUCCUGGAGAGGAAGGUGGAAUGCUUGGUGUAGAGGUGAAAUUCGUAGAUAUCAAGCGGAACACCGGUGGCGAAGGCGGCCUUCUGGACAGUGACUGACGCUGAGAUGCGAAAGCGUGGGGAGCAAACAGG